rnacentral:rRNA from 1 species
UAAGGAAUAUUGGUCAAUGGAGGCAACUCUGAACCAGCCAUGCCGCGUGAAGGAUUAAGGCCCUCUGGGUUGUAAACUUCUUUUAUAUGGGAAGAAAUGUACUUUUUCUAAAGUGCUUGACGGUACCAUAGGAAUAAGCACCGGCUAACUCCGUGCCAGCAGCCGCGGUAAUACGGAGGGUGCAAGCGUUAUCCGGAUUUACUGGGUUUAAAGGGUGCGUAGGCGGAUGAAUAAGUCAGUGGUUAAAUCUACGAGCUUAACUCGGAAACUGCCGUUGAUACUAUUUGUCUUGAAUAUUGUGGAGGUAAGCGGAAGAUGUCAUGGAGCGGUGAAAUGCUUAGAUAUGACAGAGAACACCAAUUGCGAAGGCAGCUGGCUACACAAUCAUUGACGCUGAGGCACGAAAGCGUGGGGAUCAA